rnacentral:rRNA from 1 species
UACGUAGGGGGCAAGCGUUGUCCGGAAUCAUUGGGCGUAAAGCGCGUGUAGGCGGCCACGUUAGUCCGUUCUGAAAGCCCGGGGCUCAACCCCGGGAGGCGGAUGGAUACUGCGUGGCUCGAGUCCGGAAGAGGAGAGUGGAAUUCCUGGUGUAGCGGUGAAAUGCGCAGAUAUCAGGAAGAACACCCGUGGCGAAGGCGGCUCUCUGGGACGGUACUGACGCUGAGACGCGAAAGCGUGGGGAGCAAACAGG